ensembl:snoRNA
AAUUGUUGUCCUGGGUAGAGUGGCAUCUAGCUUGUGGUGUCCAUCUCAUAUUAGCCAGGGAAAAAACAAUUCCUUGUUCAUCCCAGCUUGGCCUUUGGUCUGUGCCCAUGCUUAGUUCCUGCCUUGGAUAUAUUG